ensembl:lncRNA
AUAUAUCUAUAGUCGGCACGUCUGGUAGCAUCUCUGACUGCUGUUGAUCUUGUUUUUGGAGUAAAACACGGUGGAAGCUGAAUUAGUGAGGAUGACUCCUGCUCCUGUCAUCUCUAAGCUCCUCACACAUCUUUACCUGCACAUGAGGAAAAUCACUCCUGUAGAAUGCAGAUGUUCAGAGGGAGGUGAUGCCACAUCUGGUCCAGCUGAUGGAAGGUCUUGAAGUUCUCUGACUGGCCUCGACUGAAGAUGGUCGUCUCACUGGAUUUAAGAUGCACAAUGAGGGUCGUCAUUUGAUCUGGAACAGGAAUUCAAUAACGGCAGCAUGAGCUUCAUUUCAGUCUGUAGCUGCUGAAUUCAUGGAUGAAUCAUCUGGCACUAGAGAAGAAGACCAUCAAACAUCCACGUCAGCUGAUGGAGGUCCAAGAGUCUCACCAAACAAACAACCUACAGAGUGAAGACCUCAAAUCUGAUUGGACGGCCUCCUAUUCAGCCACAUGUGUGAACAAAUGCCUCUAAGCUGAUUUGUUUUCUACAAUAAAUCUAGUUUGAGUCCUAAUCUAUGCCUGUGUUUGCUUCUUUACACCGCUGUUAACAGUUUAGGCUGUUAGAUUGUUCCAGAUAAGACAAGUACAAGAUUCUUCAGAGCCGUUCUACCACGAGCCUGACAGGAAGAACUCCAACAGCUACUGAAUGUUCCUGUGGUUCCCUCAAGGCUACAGGAGGAGUCCUACGAGGACGAGCCGGUCCACCUGAUGGCGGCCAGUCGCUGCGGUUCAAAGCCAACACCGACUACAUGGACUUCUACUGGACCACAUGGAGGCCUUCAAACCAGACCAACGAGUUCAGCGACUCCCCGACUCGUGAGUCUGAGGACGCCGCCGAGCCUCGGUCCAGCCGGCCUCCUGUCUGUGGGUGUUUGAGUGCUGAGAGGUUUAUGGAUGCAUGUGAAUGUGUCUGUGUUGAAACAGCAGCUUUGGACUCAGUAACGCCGGGAAAAACCAAGAGCUCCUUUAUUUGGGACUUCCACUAAAAAAAUGAUGAAAAUAAGUUUGCCAGGGUUCUGACUGAUAACA